rnacentral:tRNA from 1 species
UGGAAUAUAGCCAAAUUGGCAAGGCAUUCGUUUUUGGUACGGACAUUUUUAAAGGUUCAAAUCCUUUUAUUCCAA